rnacentral:rRNA from 1 species
AGAGCGAACGUUUGCGGCGGGCUUAACACAUGCAAGUCGCACGAGAACUCUCCCUUCGGGGAGGGGGAAAGUGGCGCACGGGUGCGUAACACGUGGGUAACCAACCCUCUAGAUUGGGACAACCCGGGGAAACUCGGGCUAAUACCGGAUGUGGCUUCAGGGACUUCGGUCUUUGUCGUGAAAGGAGCAAUCCACUAGAGGACGGGCCCGCGGCCCAUCAGCUUGUUGGUGAGGUAAUGGCUCACCAAGGCUAAGACGGGUAGCUGGUCUGAGAGGAUGAUCAGCCACACUGGAACUGAGACACGGUCCAGACUCCUACGGGAGGCAGCAGUGGGGAAUAUUGCGCAAUGGGCGAAAGCCUGACGCAGCCACGCCGCGUGAGCGAUGAAGGCCUUCGGGUCGUAAAGCUCUGUGGGGGGAGAAGAACCUGACGGUAUCCCUUAGCAAGCACCGGCUAACUCCGUGCCAGCAGCCGC